CUUUUAUGAUGGAGGGGAUCUUGCGCUCGGGGAAAAAGAGGAACUAGGGUGCGUUGGAGGAGCAGAGCGAGCGAGAGGGGAAAGAGGCAACGGGGUGCGGCGCUGUAGGGGGAGGGCAGUCGCUACCUCCGGGACGUUGGGUACCCCUGCCACUGCCACCGGAGUGCCCCCACCGGAGCAGCUGUUGGAGCUGACCCACCUGCUUGGUUGCAGCCGACCACACGGGCCGCUGCUCAAGGGCAUUAACAACCAGUAACGAUGGAUCUGGUCUAGCCUCGUGCUGUUCUAGGCGGUGGUGAUUGGAACGCACGUCCCUCGAGGAAAGGAAAGAGUAGGGAACAUAAAGAGAAGGAAACGAAUAAGAGGAGACAAAGACGGCACCACAUCGUCUGGUACCUCCUGAUGACCUUCGCGUGAAGCACGUCAGCGGCCGAACGCGUACCUGUUUCUCCUCCCUAAUUCUCCAACCUCCGGUACCUACAACCUCGGGUGUUAUCUUACAAGUAGAUAUCGUUCUUACUUCUAUCAAGGGCGUUUUUUUUUUUUUGUUCUUACUUCUAUCAAGUAGUCUUUUAGUUCGCUCCUGAAACUCUUUUACCCUAAGGAAGAGGGAAAGAGGGAGAGAUAGUGAUGACUACUAGUGUACAAAGGGAGCUAAAAAUCAAAUAAAACCAAUAGGCACAGUAGCACACGAAAGUCCAUAUAACAAAGGAUUUACUUUUUGUUUUCAAUCAUCCUCGAUACAGACUAGUAUAGACAAAGUACACAAACAACAAGUGUGACGACCUUAAAAGAUUACAACAAACAGAGUCCAACAAGUAGAGUCGAACACUUAAAAUAUUACAACAAACUAUUGUCUAUUCAAAAGGGUCUGUUGAAGGUACCCGUCUAACAGUAACUGAGUGAACCAUAGACCAUGAAUGAUCGUAUGAAAAUGAUGAAUUCACGAUUCUUGUAAAACUUAAUUGACUUCCAUCGAACGAAGACAAAAUACCAUGUAAGUAUGAUUAAUAUCGACUAUCUUUUACACUAAACAGUCGUACUUCCAUUUUCUACCCUUCCAUAUUACGAGUACCCGGAGUCACGAUGAUAGUAUAUCUCUAUUGACGACGUUUCAAGUAUAUUACCAGGGACAAAGAAAAUAACCUUAUAACUGUAACAAAAGUUUCUAAGUUAAAUCAACCUAACUCAAAGACAAAAUUGAAAGAUUGUACACGUACGUCUACUUGAUUCUUAAUUUCCAUCAUGAAUAAAUUUCAAAGAAAAAGGUAACUUUACACGUCAAAAUGUGUAAAGAUACGGGGAAAAGGAUAAACACACGUAGUUUGUCAUCUUUAGUUACAAUUAUAAGAAAUAGACGCUCGAUUGACUCUCCGUACAGGAAAAAUACAGUUCGACUCUCAAAUUAACAGUGUUACUUUAGAUCCCUUGAUUCCGUCCUCUUACCCUAAAGUGUCCCAACCCUUCGUCAGUUAACCACUAGUAGCUUGCACAGCCUUGAAGGUUCCUUUACAGAGAGACACCGAUUUUAUGUAGCCAAAAGGGGAGUUCAGUGAUUUGACGUUACGCAUCAACCAGCCAGUGACAGUUAACUUAGGGCCUUAACUUUACAGAACGGCAAAAUGUUAAGAACAAAACGAAGUGUUAGAAGAGACAAUUUAUUUGGACAAACAUAUAUACUUUGUUGUGGAAAAUCAUAGAUACUUUGAUCAUGCGAACGAGACGAAAUACUUACUUGUGAAUAGAGG
rnacentral:rRNA from 1 species